rnacentral:misc_RNA from 1 species
GUCCCGGCGAUCCGCCGCGCCGGCGUGGCUGCGAUUGUGCUCGGCAUCAUCUUCAUGACGACAAUGACGCUUGCCGUGAUCGUUGUGAGAUUUGACGUUGCGGGAUUUUUCUUCGGCAACACCAAGCAAGGCCUGGCUGCGAUCGAGCUCGCCGCCACGCUGAUGCUGGUCGGCGCAACCUUCUUCAUCGCCGCGCGGUCUCAGCGACACCCGCAUCCCGCUGCUGCUUGCGGCCAUCAGCUACUGGCUGAUCGGUUUCACCGCGGCCUAUGGUCUCGCGUUCUGGACUAACCUGGGCGCGAUCGGAGUCUGGAUCGGCCUGUCGAUCGGCACCGGCAUCUAUGCCACCCUGCUGGUAUUGCGCUUCCGCGGGCUGACCCAUCGGUUGAGAGUUGCGACAUGACCUCCCAUGCCAUCAGCAU